rnacentral:rRNA from 1 species
GAUUAAGUUAUUAAGGGCGCACGGUGGAUGCCUUGGCACUAGAAGCCGAUGAAGGACGUUACUAACGACGAUAUGCUUUGGGGAGCUGUAAGUAAGCUUUGAUCCAGAGAUUUCCGAAUGGGGAAACCCAGCAUGAGUUAUGUCAUGUUAUCGAUAUGUGAAUACAUAGCAUAUCAGAAGGCACACCCGGAGAACUGAAACAUCUUAGUACCCGGAGGAAGAGAAAGAAAAUUCGAUUCCCUUAGUAGCGGCGAGCGAAACGGGAAGAGCCCAAACCAACAAGCUUGCUUGUUGGGGUUGUAGGACACUCUAUACGGAGUUACAAAGGACGACAUUAGACGAAUCAUCUGGAAAGAUGAAUCAAAGAAGGUAAUAAUCCUGUAGUCGAAAAUGUUGUCUCUCUUGAGUGGAUCCUGAGUACGACGGAGCACGUGAAAUUCCGUCGGAAUCUGGGAGGACCAUCUCCUAAGGCUAAAUACUCUCUAGUGACCGAUAGUGAACCAGUACCGUGAGGGAAAGGUGAAAAGCACCCCGGAAGGGGAGUGAAAUAGAACCUGAAACCGUGUGCUUACAAGUAGUCAGAGCCCGUUAAUGGGUGAUGGCGUGCCUUUUGUAGAAUGAACCGGCGAGUUACGAUUUGAUGCAAGGUUAAGCAGUAAAUGUGGAGCCGUAGCGAAAGCGAGUCUGAAUAGGGCGUUUAGUAUUUGGUCGUAGACCCGAAACCAGGUGAUCUACCCUUGGUCAGGUUGAAGUUCAGGUAACACUGAAUGGAGGACCGAACCGACUUACGUUGAAAAGUGAGCGGAUGAACUGAGGGUAGCGGAGAAAUUCCAAUCGAACCUGGAGAUAGCUGGUUCUCUCCGAAAUAGCUUUAGGGCUAGCCUCAAGUGAUGAUUAUUGGAGGUAGAGCACUGUUUGGACGAGGGGCCCCUCUCGGGUUACCGAAUUCAGACAAACUCCGAAUGCCAAUUAAUUUAACUUGGGAGUCAGAACAUGGGUGAUAAGGUCCGUGUUCGAAAGGGAAACAGCCCAGACCACCAGCUAAGGUCCCAAAAUAUAUGUUAAGUGGAAAAGGAUGUGGCGUUGCCCAGACAACUAGGAUGUUGGCUUAGAAGCAGCCAUCAUUUAAAGAGUGCGUAAUAGCUCACUAGUCGAGUGACACUGCGCCGAAAAUGUACCGGGGCUAAACAUAUUACCGAAGCUGUGGAUUGUCCUUUGGACAAUGGUAGGAGAGCGUUCUAAGGGCGUUGAAGCAUGAUCGUAAGGACAUGUGGAGCGCUUAGAAGUGAGAAUGCCGGUGUGAGUAGCGAAAGACGGGUGAGAAUCCCGUCCACCGAUUGACUAAGGUUUCCAGAGGAAGGCUCGUCCGCUCUGGGUUAGUCGGGUCCUAAGCUGAGGCCGACAGGCGUAGGCGAUGGAUAACAGGUUGAUAUUCCUGUACCACCUAUAAUCGUUUUAAUCGAUGGGGGGACGCAGUAGGAUAGGCGAAGCGUGCGAUUGGAUUGCACGUCUAAGCAGUAAGGCUGAGUAUUAGGCAAAUCCGGUACUCGUUAAGGCUGAGCUGUGAUGGGGAGAAGACAUUGUCUUCGAGUCGUUGAUUUCACACUGCCGAGAAAAGCCUCUAGAUAGAAAAUAGGUGCCCGUACCGCAAACCGACACAGGUAGUCAAGAUGAGAAUUCUAAGGUGAGCGAGCGAACUCUCGUUAAGGAACUCGGCAAAAUGACCCCGUAACUUCGGGAGAAGGGGUGCUCUUUAGGGUUAACGCCCAGAAGAGCCGCAGUGAAUAGGCCCAAGCGACUGUUUAUCAAAAACACAGGUCUCUGCUAAACCGUAAGGUGAUGUAUAGGGGCUGACGCCUGCCCGGUGCUGGAAGGUUAAGAGGAGUGGUUAGCUUCUGCGAAGCUACGAAUCGAAGCCCCAGUAAACGGCGGCCGUAACUAUAACGGUCCUAAGGUAGCGAAAUUCCUUGUCGGGUAAGUUCCGACCCGCACGAAAGGCGUAACGAUUUGGGCACUGUCUCAACGAGAGACUCGGUGAAAUCAUAGUACCUGUGAAGAUGCAGGUUACCCGCGACAGGACGGAAAGACCCCGUGGAGCUUUACUGUAGCCUGAUAUUGAAAUUCGGCACAGCUUGUACAGGAUAGGUAGGAGCCUUUGAAACGUGAGCGCUAGCUUACGUGGAGGCGCUGGUGGGAUACUACCCUAGCUGUGUUGGCUUUCUAACCCGCACCACUUAUCGUGGUGGGAGACAGUGUCAGGCGGGCAGUUUGACUGGGGCGGUCGCCUCCUAAAAGGUAACGGAGGCGCUCAAAGGUUCCCUCAGAAUGGUUGGAAAUCAUUCAUAGAGUGUAAAGGCAUAAGGGAGCUUGACUGCGAGACCUACAAGUCGAGCAGGGUCGAAAGACGGACUUAGUGAUCCGGUGGUUCCGCAUGGAAGGGCCAUCGCUCAACGGAUAAAAGCUACCCCGGGGAUAACAGGCUUAUCUCCCCCAAGAGUUCACAUCGACGGGGAGGUUUGGCACCUCGAUGUCGGCUCAUCGCAUCCUGGGGCUGUAGUCGGUCCCAAGGGUUGGGCUGUUCGCCCAUUAAAGCGGUACGCGAGCUGGGUUCAGAACGUCGUGAGACAGUUCGGUCCCUAUCCGUCGUGGGCGUAGGAAAUUUGAGAGGAGCUGUCCUUAGUACGAGAGGACCGGGAUGGACAUACCUCUGGUGUACCAGUUGUCGUGCCAACGGCAUAGCUGGGUAGCUAUGUGUGGACGGGAUAAGUGCUGAAAGCAUCUAAGCAUGAAGCCCCCCUCAAGAUGAGAUUUCCCAACUUCGGUUAUAAGAUCCCUCAAAGAUGAUGAGGUUAAUAGGUUCGAGGUGGAAGCAUGGUGACAUGUGGAGCUGACGAAUACUAAUCGAUCGAAGACUUAAUCAA